GAUGAACGCUAGCGAUAGGCUUAACACAUGCAAGUCGAGGGGCAGCACAUGAGUGGCAACACGAUGGUGGCGACCGGCGCACGGGUGAGUAACACGUAUGCAACCUGCCCAUAACUGGGGGAUAACCCGUCGAAAGGCGGACUAAUACCGCAUGACACCGAUGAUCCGCAUGGUGAUUCGUUUAAAGAUUUAUCGGUUAUGGAUGGGCAUGCGUUCCAUUAGGUAGUUGGCAGGGUAACGGCCUACCAAGCCUACGAUGGAUAGGGGUUAUGAGAGGAAGGUCCCCCACACUGGUACUGAGACACGGACCAGACUCCUACGGGAGGCAGCAGUGAAGAAUAUUGGUCAAUGGGCGAGAGCCUGAACCAGCCAAAUCGCGUGAAGGAUGAAGGUAUUAUGUAUUGUAAACUUCUUUUGUCGGGGAAUAAAGUGCGGGACGUGUCCCGUUUUGUAUGUACCCGAAGAAUAAGGAUCGGCUAACUCCGUGCCAGCAGCCGCGGUAAAAC
rnacentral:rRNA from 1 species